rnacentral:rRNA from 1 species
GAUGAACGCUGGCGGCGUGCUUAACACAUGCAAGUCGAACGGUGAAGCAGAGCUUGCUCUGUGGAUCAGUGGCGAACGGGUGAGUAACACGUGAGCAACCUGCCCCGGACUCUGGGAUAAGCGCUGGAAACGGCGUCUAAUACUGGAUAUGAGCUGCAACCGCAUGGUUAGCAGUUGGAAAGAUUUUUCGGUCUGGGAUG